GCCACCUGCUGGGCCUCCAUCUCCCUCCGAGCCUGCUCAAGGAUGGAACGAAUGUUCUCGUCGGAGCUGCUGGAGGAGGACGGAGGCUGAGAACUCUCAACUGCAGGAACAGAGGAGAACAUAAAAAGACUCGCCUGCUUUCUGCACUUGCAACUCUCUCUUUGCCUGUUCCAAGAUGGACUUGAUGGCUUCAUCGGAGCCGGUCUCAGGCGUGCGGAUCCGUGUGGUGAUGUUACCUGAGAAGACACGAGAAGGACAUGUAGCUAUUCCAGGCCAGAGAUUGAGAAGAAACAGACCAGCACAACAAAAACAUACAAGACACAGCGGUUCUGAGACUGGAGAAACCCGGAACACGAGAGGGGAGGCGUGAGACAGACCUGGCCGCGUGGA